rnacentral:ribozyme from 1 species
CACCUGCCUUCCCUCCCUCACGAUCCUUUUUUUCGCCCAGGUCACAAGAAAAGCAAAAAAUACCCGAGACCAUCUUGGUCCCUUCCCUUCCUCGCCUCUGUGAUUCCACACGACUGAAGCAGAGGA